GGGAGCGUCCCUCUCGGAGACACCCUCCUCUCCUACCGCCACGCGCUCUCCGCUGGCCUGUGGGACACAGGCCUCCCCCUCACCUCCCCUUCUCGGCCUUCGCGAGUGUGGGCGCCUCGGGGCACUGGCGAGCCGCUCCAGGAUUGAUGUUCUUCCAGAGAAUCGAAGCCCCCUCAGCCUGAGUCCCCGAGUACGGAUCACAUGGAGCAGAGAUCCGACUGACUUGGGAUGGACGUGUGGCAUAAAAGGAAACAAACCUUUGUUUUUCUAAGCCACUGGAGAUUGUUUGUUGCUGCAGCAUAAGCUUUUUUGUAGGUUUGGAGACAUGUGCAAAGAAAAGCUAGCAGCAAAAGGCACUAUCUGCCUCUCAGAGAUCUCUGCAACUACCAACACAUGGUCCUGCCUGAGAAUGAGGAAACUGGUGUGCAGACAAGUUUUGCCCACUCCGUGGUCACCCUGAUCCAGCCCUCAAGCUCAUCAGCCAGGAGCGCAGGGCCCUUCAGAAAAACACCACAACAAACAGGGUAUACCCGAGACAUUUAGCUGUUGAAACAACUGGCAUUUUAAUGAAACUGGCUGGAGCAAGUCCAACAGUAGUUAGGAGUCACCUUUCUCAUCAAGUACUAGGCAAUUUCUGAGAAAAUGAACAUGAAGCCAAAUCCCGCCCCAUACCCAGGGCUUCAGAGAGACACAGAAGGGAAGAGUAGAUGUUCACGGUGGUCCUCUUCCCUUCCUCUGAAUUCAUCCGCAGCAAUCCUGGCAGGAGAAAACCACCUAAAGGGAUGAGACUCUUCUUAGGAUGACUGACUCAGGUUCUCUGUCUCAACUUUUAGGGACAGGAGACCAACACGUCUCAUCUGCGUUGGGGCAAGAGCAUAGAUAAAGAGAUACAGCUGAGUGAAUCAAGAUAAGAGCUGAGAAAAAAGUAAUGUAUCUUGGGAGAGAAAAAGGUGCUCUGACACCAAGCUUAAGCCCCUAAAUCCUGCCCAGCACUAACAAGGAUAAGGAAGCUUCCUCUAGCUAGAAAGAGAACAGCCCUCGCAAAGUUACUUAUCACUGGCCCACCACAUUUAUUAUUGUCUGAGAGAUAGAGAAAGUGACCAUGUUUAUGGCAGGUUAAAGGAAAAUUGGAACAUGGGAUUUGUGAGACUCCUGGAGCUGAUGGAGACAAGAAAGUAAACAUCAUGCAGCAUGGAGACCCACUCUGGUAGACACACAUCCACACUCCCCAAGCAUGCUCUGAAUAUGUUUACCACUGGACUGUGAGCUUCCUGAAAAUAGGGCUGAUGGUUUAUUCCGUGUACAUCUUCUUCCAUGUAUUGUUUCAUAGUAAACGAGAUUCAUGAAGCAGGAGCUCAAUAAAUAUUUGUGAAAUGAA